GUCAGGAUGGCCGAGUGGUCUAAGGCGCCAGACUCAAGAUUCUAUCUUCCCUCUCUUGGGGCUUCUGGUCUCCGAAUGGAGGCGUGGGUUCGAAUCCCACUUCUGACA
rfam:TPA: Bos taurus chromosome 23, whole genome shotgun sequence.